rnacentral:rRNA from 1 species
AUUGAACGCUGGCGGCAGGCCUAACACAUGCGAGUCGAACGGUAACAGAAAGCAGCUUGCUGCUUUGCUGACGAGUGGCGGACGGGUGAGUAAUGUCUGGGAAACUGCCUGAUGGAGGGGGAUAACUACUGGAAACGGUAGCUAAUACCGCAUAACGUCGCAAGACCAAAGAGGGGGACCUUCGGGCCUCUUGCCAUCGGAUGUGCCCAGAUGGGAUUAGCUAGUAGGUGGGGUAACGGCUCACCUAGGCGACGAUCCCUAGCUGGUCUGAGAGGAUGACCAGCCACACUGUAACUGAGACACGGUCCAGACUCCUACGGGAGGCAGCAGUGGGGAAUAUUGCACAAUGGGCGCAAGCCUGAUGCAGCCAUGCCGCGUGUAUGAAGAAGGCCUUCGGGUUGUAAAGUACUUUCAGCGGGGAGGAAGGGAGUAAAGUUAAUACCUUUGCUCAUUGACGUUACCCGCAGAAGAAGCACCGGCUAACUCCGUG